CCGGCCUGAGGGGUGCUGGGGCCCGGCCCGGCCCGGCCGCCGUUUGCCGCCGGCGAGGCCCCUCCGUCGGCCGCCAUCAGCUUACCAGAGCGGGCUGCGGGGCUGGAGCGCAGCUGGGAGCGGUGGGAAGCACCCGGGAUUCCCUUUCCCGCCGGCGUGUCUUCGUGUGAGGAGACUGGCGGGAAGCUCGUCAGCUCUGCGGCCUCCACAGGAGUGGCUGGACCAAAAACGCUUUCCAUGGACAGAAGUGUUCUGGAAGUUUUAAGCCUGUCCAGCGCCAAUUGAUGCAGAGCUGGAACCCUGGAUUGGUACUUCGGGAUGGGCAAGCUUUAAGCUGCUACUGAAACUGGGGCUGUGAGGGAGACCCACUCUUGGUCCUCAUUUUACCACAGAAUUACAGAAUUUGGUUCUUGUAAAGGGAACAAACGAUCUCUUAAUCUACGACCUCUGCCACAUGGUAAGGCAGGGGGAAACAUGUGGUCUAGCUUCAGUGUUCAAGGAUAUUGACUCAUCUCUGGGUAGCUCCUUCAAGUGCAGUGAAGUUGUGACACAAGAUGAAAAAAUACUUUAGUUGGGAAAAAAUUGAAGCUUUGUGAACUUGGUUGUGCAACAUCCAGUUUAAACAAUACAUUUUUCUAAAUGGUUGGAUGUUUUAUUUAUAGGUUUGUCAAAUAAUACAUAACACAGAUGAAAAGACGAAAUGAAUAGAAAACAAAUGGCAGCUUUGUUCUGAGAAAUUUAUUAAAGCACUUAGAUGGGAAAACUGAUCAGACUUUUGUUUGUUUUUUAAAUACAGUCUGUGUUUAAGGCCCUGCUUACUUAGUAAUAUUUGGAACUAGAAAUCUACAAAUAAAGUGUACAAUGUGUCAGUACUGUAGUAAAAUUCUAAGAAUAUUAUUUUUAAAUACCUGCAGAGUUAGAUUAUUAGUUCAAACAUGAAAAAAGUAAAUGAAUAAAAACAAGAGGAAACUUUUAACAUGAAUGAUUUAUUGUUCACAAGUAUUUUGGAUUUAGAAACAGGUUUUUUUGAUUACUUGGAUUGUCUUUUGUGCAAGUACAAGCAUAUAUGAACAUAUCGGGGAUUAUCUCCGUGCAUAAGUGACAGUAGAAUCAGAACUCAACUUUGUGAAAUGGCUAAAUAGGGAAUGGCUGCCAUCGAUACAGUGGUUUCAUUAGUGCUCACUGUAAUGAUCCCCAGGUUACACAGCUCAAAACCAAAAAACUAACCUAACAAAGCAAUGAGAUAAGUGUUAAGAAGUCAUAAAUCUACUCAGAUGCUUUUCUGUUUUCCUUUAAAAGCAGCACUGCACCUUUAUAUUUUGUACUAGAAAAAUACUGGAAGCUGCAAUAGAUGCAAGAAACGUUAUUGACAAAAAAUAGUUUUUCUACUAAUACCAAUGAAGACAGAAGUAUUUAUAACUUUGUAUACAUUCCAUUUAUAUUAAGUAGUCCUAAAGUAGUUACAAUGCAUUGCAAUUGUUUUACUGUAACAAAUAAAUUCACUUAGACUUUUUAUAUAAUGUUGUGAAAAGGAAGUGUUUUAACUUGCACUAAUAGACCUGUGUCUGAAAGUAUAUUUUAUAAUCUCAGUUUUCAAAACAAUAUGUUUUGAGUAAUUUUGAAUAAUCACUUUCCUGCUGUUUCUGCAGUUUAUUUAUACACCACUGGGAGAGGUACAAACAGCUGAGACAGCUGGCAAAAUGACAUCCCAAAACACAGUAAAUAGAUACAGAAGCAAAAAUAAUCCAUUCUAAAAUGAUUACACUGAAAUGGUUCCACUGAAAAUUAGUGGCAUCUCUUUCACGUAGAUAUAUAAAUCUUUGUACAGAUGCAUAAAUGUGUACUGGGCACGGCAAAAAAGCUUCCGGCUAAUGAAAAUGGAAGAAUAUAAAAUUUUUGUUUAAUUCGAGCUGCUGUGAAGCUGCUUUGUGAAGUAUGCUACCACUUUUUAAUUAAAUUGGAUUUGCUAAUUUUUGCUAACGUAAGAGCUGUAUUCAGAUGCUUUCUUUGUUCCCAUUUUAAUACAUCUCAAAGUUUCUCCUCAAAUUAUUCUUUUCCAAAUCUUAGUUUGUUACUAGUAUGUUCAAGUAAGAUUUUUAUAAUGGGUUGAGAAUGUAGAUGCAUUAAUUUCGUGUCCUUUUAUGAUUCAGUUCGUGUGAGUAUAAAAAAGAAGUCCAAAGAGAAGCAAAUGGUGAAGUUAAGACAUUUCAGCCUUUUAAUUAAUUUAUAAACCACUCUCACCUGCUACCACUUGAAAUCCAUAAGCAAGAGCCCUUCACUGAUACACACGGAGGGUGCAGAUGGGAACAGGGGAGAAAGGUUUGGCAGACUGCAUGCAUCUCGUUUAUUAAACAAAGACAGUUACAGUGCGUACAUUGUGGACAGAGUUUAGGGUUGGUUUGUUUGUUUUUCCUUCACCACUAAGUGUCUGUAGGCCUCUCUUAGGAGAACAGACUUACACAAGCAAGAUGUCCGUACAUGUAUUGGUGUACAUAGGUUAGUAUAAUAAAUCUUCUCCCCAUCAUUUUUGUUGCUCUGCUUAGCAUAGAUGUUAUAUAAAUCCAAAGAUAACAAAGCUCUUUCUGAGGAGAAUGACUCUAUAAUCUGGACCAACUCCUUAGCUGAUACAGCCAUCUUUGUUGAUGCCUCCACUCUGGGGAAGCUUUUGUAGGGGGUUCCACUUGUCCAUAUGCAAAUCAAGUACUUCUCAUAAAUUAGGUUUACUUACUGACGAGGGAGGAGCUAUUUACUUUGCUGUCUUUCUCAUUGUUUUAAAGGCACUGUCUUGUGACAGAGUCAGCAGAGAGCUGCUCAGGAGUGACAGCUUUUCUCAGUUACCUGAAUUGCAGAGCCACUGCAGUGGCAGGGAGAGGCAAGACUCUCAUUCAAGUAGCAUUUCCAGUAAGAGUUUGGGUAGUUCAUGGAAUGUAAGCGAUAGGACUGGGAAACAUUAUGAUACGGUUAAGGAUGGAUGAAAGAAAAGACAUUGACACAGAGGCUUGUAGGGACCCUGAAAACAUAAAGAAUAGAUGAGGCUGAUGAAGAAAACAGUGGUGCCCUUGUGAGAAGAGAAGGGUGGGACAAAGGGAAAGCUGUUUUUAAGAUGCUCCACAUGAAGUAGGCUAAUGCACUUUCUCGGGUGCGGGGGACCAAGGUAUGGUGUAGCGCUAUGAAGAGUAGAUGCUGUAGGCCUAAAAAGAUUUUUGGUCUGGUCAGAGAAGACAUUUUAAGGAGAGUCUUAAACUUUAGAGCCCUUCAGUUAAAUUCUGAAAACAUGUAGCUUUUCAAUAGCGUGCACGCAGCUGACAGUUGCGGGAAGCUGUAAAGAUUUGCAAAUAGCCUCUAGAAUCAUGUUUAACAUUUUAGCAAAUACAGAAUGUACACCCAUUUUCCUGGAACGCUCAGACCUUCUCUUGCAAUUCCUGAUGAGGAACUAUAAAAAGCAUUAAGCAUGCCUAUUUAUGUACAAUCACUUGCUUUGGAGCCAGAUUUUGCCACAAACACCCCCCCACACACACACACCUAUGUCUUAAAGGACCCACUAAGCGUGAUUUGCAUCUAAAAUUGUGUCUGACGUCUCACCUUAGUCAUCAUUUCUUCAUUCUAAAGCCAUAACCUCACCUCUUGCCCUCAUUUUUAGAGAAUGUUUCCUUCUAUAAUAUUUUCAUACCUGUUCCUGACUCUGAACUCACUGGAGUUGCUCCUAACACUGCUUUUUAUUUCAACUCAGGAAGCCGCAUACAGGAGCAACAGGGAUGGCUAUUUCUGGCAAAGUGCCUGCUACACAUGAGCACGAUGGACACGUGAGAGGUUUCCCUGGAUACAUCUGAAUGGCUAGAUGCACUCUGGAGGUAUUAGACAGUCAAAAAAACGUAAGCAUGUUUCAAGCAGCGGUUCUACCAGUUCUCCAUAUAAAAAGCAAACACUGGUGUGUACAACACUUGAAGAAUUGCUUGUCCACCAGAGGGGCAGGGGAUACACAAGAGGGUUCUGGCC